GACGAACGCUGGCGGCGUGCUUAACACAUGCAAGUCGAACGGAAAGGCCCUGCUUUUGUGGGGUGCUCGAGUGGCGAACGGGUGAGUAACACGUGAGUAACCUGCCCUUGACUUUGGGAUAACUUCAGGAAACUGGGGCUAAUACCGGAUAGGAGCUCCUGCUGCAUGGUGGGGGUUGGAAAGUUUCGGCGGUUGGGGAUGGACUCGCGGCUUAUCAGCUUGUUGGUGGGGUAGUGGCUUACCAAGGCUUUGACGGGUAGCCGGCCUGAGAGGGUGACCGGCAACAUUGGGACGGAGAUACGGCCCAGACUCCUACGGGAGGCAGAAGUGGGGAAUAUUGCACAAUGGGCGGAAGACUGAUGCAGCAACGCCGCGUGCGGGAUGAAGGCCUUCGGGUUGUAAACCGCUUUCGCCUGUGACGAAGCGUGAGUGACGGUAAUGGGUAAAGAAGCACCGGCUAACUACGUG
rnacentral:rRNA from 1 species